rnacentral:rRNA from 1 species
UACGUAGGUGGCUAGCGUUGUCCGGAUUUACUGGGCGUAAAGAGCGCGCAGGCGGUCGUUCAAGUCGAGUGUGAAAGCCCCCGGCUCAACUGGGGAGGGUCACUCGAUACUGAUCGACUUGAAGGCGGGAGAGGGAAGCGGAAUUCCCGGUGUAGUGGUGAAAUGCGUAGAUAUCAGGAGGAAUACCGGUGGCGAAGGCGGGUCUCUGGGCCGAUACUGACGCUGAGGAGCGAAAGCGUGGGGAGCGAACAGG